rnacentral:rRNA from 1 species
AUUGAACGCUGGCGGCAUGCUUUACACAUGCAAGUCGAACGGUAACAGGGACUUCGGUCCGCUGACGAGUGGCGAACGGGUGAGUAAUGCGUCGGAACGUGCCAAGUAGUGGGGGAUAACGCAUCGAAAGGUGUGCUAAUACCGCAUACGCUCUGAGGAGGAAAGCAGGGGAUCUUAGGACCUUGCGCUAUGUGGGCGGCCGACGUCUGAUUAGCUAGUUGGUGGGGUAAAGGCCUACCAAGGCGACGAUCAGUAGCUGGUCUGAGAGGAUGAUCAGCCACACUGGAACUGAGACACGGUCCAGACUCCUACGGGAGGCAGCAGUGGGGAAUUUUGGACAAUGGGCGCAAGCCUGAUCCAGCCAUGCCGCGUGAGUGAAGAAGGCCUUCGGGUUGUAAAGCUCUUUUGUCCGGGAGGAAAUCCCUGAAGUUAAUACCUUCAGGGGAUGACAGUACUGGAAGAAUAAGCACCGGCUAACUACGUGCCAGCAGCCGC